UACAGGGGGUGCAAACGUUGCUCGGAAUCAUUGGGCGUAGAGCGCACGUAGGCGGUUCGUUAUGUCGGAUGUGAAAGCCCUUGGCUUAACCGAGGAAGUGCAUCCGAAACUGGCGAGCUAGAGUACUAAAGAGGAUCGCGGAAUUCCCGGUGUAGAGGUGAAAUUCGUAGAUAUCGGGAGGAACACCGGUGGCGAAGGCGGCGAUCUGGGUAGAUACUGACGCUGAGGUGCGAAAGCGUGGGGAGCAAACAGG
rnacentral:rRNA from 1 species